AGCAGCCGCGGUAAUUCCAGCUCCAAUAGCGUAUAUUAAAGUUGUUGCAGUUAAAAAGCUCGUAGUUGAAUUUCGGAAUUUUUUUAUCGGUUGAAUCAACAGGUUCGUACUGAUUUUAAGAAUUUCUACCUUCUGGAGAACCUUAAUGUCAUUUAUUUGGUGUUUUGGGAAACCAGGACUGUUACCUUGAAAAAUUAGAGUGUUUAAAGCAGGCUUAUGUCUGAAUAUAUUAGCAUGGAAUAAUGAAAUAGGACGGCAUGGUUCUAUUUUGUUGGUUUCUAGGAUCACCGUAAUGAUUAAUAGGGAUAGUUGGGGGCAUUAGUAUUCAAUUGUCAGAGGUGAAAUUCUUGGAUUUAUUGAAGACUAACUUCUGCGAAAGCAUUUGCCAAGGAUGUUUUCAUUAAUCAAGAACGAAAGUUAGGGGAUCGAAGACGAUCAGAUACCGUCGUAGUCUUAACCAUAAACUAUG
rnacentral:rRNA from 1 species